AGAUUAUUGACAAAGUGCCCGCAGUAGAGAGAACAGGCAGAUCGUAAAGACGCCGUAAAUCCCUCCCUGGAGGCUCGAGCCGCGCCAUCCCUGGCGCGGA
rnacentral:ncRNA from 1 species